rnacentral:rRNA from 1 species
AUUGAACGCUGGCGGCAUGCUUUACACAUGCAAGUCGAACGGCAGCACGGGUGCUUGCACCUGGUGGCGAGUGGCGAACGGGUGAGUAAUGCACCGGAACGUAUCCAAUAAUGGGGAUAACGCACCGAAAGGUGUGCUAAUACCGCAUACGACCGGAGGGGGAAAGCGGGGGAUCGAAAGACUUCGCGUUAAUGGAGCGGCCGAUGUCGGAUUAGCUAGUUGGUGAGGUAAAGGCUCACCAAGGCGACGAUCCGUAGCUGGUCUGAGAGGACGACCAGCCACACUGGGACUGAGACACGGCCCAGACUCCUACGGGAGGCAGCAGUGGGGAAUUUUGGACAAUGGGCGAAAGCCUGAUCCAGCCAUGCCGCGUGAGUGAAGAAGGCCUUCGGGUUGUAAAGCUCUUUCGCAAGGAAAGAAAACUUAUCCACUAAUACUGGGUGAGGAUGACGGUACCUUGAUAAGAAGCACCGGCUAACUACGUGCCAGCAGCCGCGGUAA